rnacentral:lncRNA from 1 species
ACCAGAAAUUCAAUUGAGAGAGAAGAAACAGAGGAGAAUCGAAGAGAGGAAGCGUCAACGGAAGGGGAUCCGGCAAUCGUCUACGGUCGAGCACCCUGUUUUCGUCACCAUCUCUGUCUUUUGCUCCCUGUUCUAGCGGCUAAGGGUGUGGUUGAUACCUGAGGUUAAGGAUAAUCAUGGACUCAAACCGAAGCAGACCAUGAUGAUGACGACGUUACCGGUAGCGCCUAGGGUUCCAACAGAGCAACGGUACAGCUUUCUUAUUUUGUUCUUCUCAGAGCAAGAAAUUAGCCCUAAAGGGAAUUUCGAGGAUCCUUAACAGUUAACCGAACCGACGAAAGGUCAGCCAAGAAGCCUCGAGGUUCAGCUACGAGGACGAGUGCGCGAAUUGGCAUGACCAAAGGCUAUUUAGAGAGAUGGAUCUGAUGAAGUUGUGUUCGGAGCUGAUAUACAUCCAGGUGCAAGAGGCUAUGAUGAGUUAAGUCGCGAUCGGCUCUUGGCGUGGCAGGAUCGGAGGACGGAAAGUGUGAGUUUCUCUAUUUGCAACCUCUGAUGCAGCCAUGGUGGUCUAAUAGACAGAUCUGAACCACGCUAUAUUAGUCGGCAAAUCUGAGGCAAACAAGUUGGUCCGUUUAUGCUAACAUAUCAUUAUAUUACCUCCUUUUGUAAAUGGAAUUUGUAUCUAUUCAUCUCGAUACAACUCUUUAACUCGAUGUUUUCUCUUUUGGUUACUUUGGCGAGUGUUGAUGCCGUAACGAAUCGAACGAAUACGGGACAAUCUUUUAGCUUCUAUGAUAUGUGAAUGUCAACCCGGCCGCAACGCGACG